AAAAACCUUUUUAUUUUUCAUGUUGGGGAUGUUAGAGGACCCUUUUUAAAAGAAUUGAUUAUUAUGGUGGAUAAUGAAUUGGCGAUUGAUGUGCAAGAAGUUGAAAGUUCGGUGCAAUUGUAAGAUACAUGAGUGUGUGGCACAUGAUAGAUGCAUGUGUGGGUGUAGGGGAUAAUUUAUCCCUCAAUUAUAAUUCUCUCCUUUCUCUCACAGUAAACACAACGCACACCCACGCCCCUCACUCUCCUCCAAACUUCUCUCUUUGAUUUCAUCUUCAUAGAAAGAGAUUUUGAAAAAAUCCCAAGUAUUAAAGUUGUUCUACGCGACGAGAUCUUCCUACUGAUCCAAGAAGAAUCAUGAUCGGAGCACUUUGAGGUUUUCUCCAUGUUCGGGCUUGCUUCUAACCUUCGAGGUACUGGUCAUGGCACUUAGCUUGGGUUGCAUGGAGUGCACAUUGAGACGUCUCUUGAGAGCUUCAUUGGUAUCAUUAAGGAAGUGUUUAUCAUCUAGUAUAAUUCAUGUUGUGUACUUUACUCGCAAUUGAAGGUUGUACCUUUUGAUUAGAAUAUAUGUAAAGCCAUGUAUAAACUCCUCUCCUUGAUUAUUGAGAAGUCCCUUUUUGUGGAAGAUGUUUGGGAGACUUUAUGUGAAAAAAAAAAAUUAGAGAGAAAAAGAAGAGACUUUGAUU